UGUGUUCCUCCUCCUCGCCCAGCUCUUUUGGGAGCUCUGCAGCUGUUCCUGCUGCUGCUACUGUUUGCUGAACUGGACUGAGUGAAGGCAGAGCGGAGGACAGGGCCGGUGCAUGCUUGAAUAAUGCAUGCCUUCUGGAGGCCACCUCGGGACGGAAGCCGUUUUUAAAGAUCCUCCACUAACCGACUCAUGUACGGGAACUUAUUAAAAAUAGAAAAAGUGGUCGGACAAAACAGCACGCUUCAGCUGAGGGCCUCCAGAGCUCUGAGCCCAUUAUUAACCAGCAAGAUGGUUAGUCUCAAUGCAAGAGCUGCUUUGACAAGCAAAACCUUUCAGAUGGAUUCAGGGAAAUGAAUAUGUGAGGAGGGAUGUGGACAGUGGAGAAGUCAAAAUGAGAAGACUGAAAUUUGGCUUCUCAUACAGUAUGCAGAUUUGCACAUUCUCCGAGGCUGACCGAUAGACCACCGACUUCAAGCCUGCAGGGACAGUGAGUAGAC